rnacentral:rRNA from 1 species
GGUCCUACCCGGAAACCCCGGGUUAAUUACGUCCCAGCAGCCGCGGUAAUACGUAGGUGGCAAGCGUUGUCCGGAAUUAUUGGGCGUAAAGCGCGCGCAGGCGGUUUCUUAAGUCUGAUGUGAAAUCUUGCGGCUCAACCGCAAGCGGCCAUUGGAAACUGGGAGACUUGAGUGCAGAAGAGGAGAGUGGAAUUCCACGUGUAGCGGUGAAAUGCGUAGAGAUGUGGAGGAACACCAGUGGCGAAGGCGACUCUCUGGUCUGUAACUGACGCUGAGGCGCGAAAGCGUGGGGAGCGAACAGGAUUAGAUACCCUGGUAGUCCACGCCGUAAACGAUGAGUGCUAAGUGUUAGAGGGUUUCCGCCCUUUAGUGCUGCAGCUAACGCAUUAAGCACUCCGCCUGGGGAGUACGGCCGCAAGGCUGAAACUCAAAGGAAUUGACGGGGGCCCGCACAAGCGGUGGAGCAUGUGGUUUAAUUCGAAGCAACGCGAAGAACCUUACCAGGUCUUGACAUCCUCUUGACCUCCCUAGAGAUAGGGAUUUCCCUUCGGGGACAGGAGUGACAGGUGGUGCAUGGUUGUCGUCAGCUCGUGUCGUGAGAUGUUGGGUUAAGUCCCGCAACGAGCGCAACCCUUGACCUUAGUUGCCAGCAUUCAGUUGGGCACUCUAAGGUGACUGCCGGUGACAAACCGGAGGAAGGUGGGGAUGACGUCAAAUCAUCAUGCCCCUUAUGACCUGGGCUACACACGUGCUACAAUGGAUGGUACAAAGGGCUGCAAGACCGCGAGGUUUAGCCAAUCCCAUAAAACCAUUCUCAGUUCGGAUUGUAGGCUGCAACUCGCCUACAUGAAGCCGGAAUCGCUAGUAAUCGCGGAUCAGCAUGCCGCGGUGAAUACGUUCCCGGGCCUUGUACACACCGCCCGUCACACCACGAGAGUUUGUAACACCCGAAGUCGGUGAGGUAACCUUUGGAGCCAGCCGCCGAAGGUACAGA